UGGGGAAUUUUGGACAAUGGGCGCAAGCCUGAUCCAGCAAUGCCGCGUGCAGGAUGAAGGCCUUCGGGUUGUAAAGCUCUUUCGGUGGGGAAGAAAUUGCUUCGAUUAAUACUCGGAGUAGAUGACGGUACCCGCGUAAGAAGCACCGGCUAACUACGUGCCAGCAGCCGCGGUAAUACGUAGGGUGCGAGCGUUAAUCGGAAUUACUGGGCGUAAAGCGUGCGCAGGCGGUUGUGUAAGUCAGAUGUGAAAUCCCCGGGCUCAACCUGGGAACUGCAUUUGAGACUGCACGGCUAGAGUGUAGCAGAGGGGGGUAGAAUUCCACGUGUAGCAGUGAAAUGCGUAGAGAUGUGGAGGAAUACCGAUGGCGAAGGCAGCCCCCUGGGUUACUACUGACGCUCAUGCACGAAAGCGUGGGGAGCAAACA
rnacentral:rRNA from 1 species